AGCUGCAGUCGAGGAUCAUUCGCAAUGGGCGAAAGCCUGACGAUGCGACGCCGUGUGAGCGAUGAAGGCCUUCGGGUCGUAAAGCUCUUUCGCUUGGGAACAAGAGAGGUCAGCUAAUAACUGGCCAAUUUGAGGGUACCAGGUAAAGAAGCACCGGCUAACUCC
rnacentral:rRNA from 1 species